AGAAUAACAAAAUAUAAAAUAAUUUUAAAUAAACAGAACACUGUCAACAAUGACAACAUAUAAAUAUAUAUAUAGUAUAUACAUUCAGUGUGGGCUAGGUGCCCUGCUCAAAGGCACUUUCACAGCUGAUGUUCAGGGAGUGUAGAGCUCUUAAAGUUAAAUUUAGUUUUUAUAAAAAGAGAAAAUUCAGCUCUGAAUGUGCCAGACAACCUCAGCUUGUAUUCUGAAUGUUUCUCACAGUCAUAGUGAAUAAAGGUGACCACAAAUCAGUUAAAUGUCAUCAAAAAACACAGACACUGCUGUCUGCUGAAUCACACAGUUUUAACACCAUUAACUGAUUCAGAUCAGUCUAAACAGGUGGGGAAUCAACUGUAAGUCACAUUUCCCCUUUACGUCUUGUAACUUUCGUCCUUAAAAUACAAAAAAAACCCAUAUAUAUUCUUCUCAUUCAGUUAGAGGUAAGACUGAGUUGUACAAAUAAAUUAAGUUUUUACUAACUACUAAUUUGUUUCAGACUGAUUAUUCACUAAAUCAGGUUGCACCAUUAAAACUUAUAGCAUACAAGCAGAAAUA